CUCAGACAUGAUCAAAUCAACUCUUGUUUGGUUAUUUCUCCAAAUAUUGACAUUUUGUAGAUCGGAAAAUAUAUUCGUCCAAUUCCAGUUUUGAAGCUGUGGAAGUUUCUAUGUGUGUAAAACACUUGGACGAAGUCUUCUUCUGCUUUGAUAUGGUGCUACAACAAUUAUAUCCUUCUGAUCUGCACCUGAUUGUUCUAGAAAAGGUCUCCCCAAACUUUUCAGUUCACGGGCCACAUUGCUUUGCAAAUAACGUUUUUGAGGGUUAUACAGCUGUUGUGGGCAGCCGUGCCGACCCCUGGACUUGCCGAGGCAGUUGUGCUGCCACCGGUCAACGUCCAGGAGGACGCGUUACCAAGCGUGCGAGGCUUAGUGUGUGCCGAGCGUUGCACGAUCAGAGUGUGUUAGCAAGCCGAUCGAGCAGGAGCUCUCGGCAGGGGCGCUCGGUGCGGCUGGUGCGCGACCACCGCACGUAUAAUUUGAAAGUGUUUGUUCAUUGUGCGUAUCUAUUAUUUAUUGCCGUGAUACGUUGUAUAAGUGUUUAUAAAAUAGUAAAGUGCAGAAUAUAACAAAAGCUAUCGAAUUAAGGUUUAAAACCAUUUUGGUAAAAUACUAACUUUAUGCUUCAAAAUACCUACAGCUUUCUAUUAUUCAAACUGUAUUUUCAUGUUUUAGAGCACAUGACAUGACACACGAACUUUCGCUCGAGCUCCAGUGGAAAGGAGAGCAGGAGGAAUGCGAUCACUGCUUGCGGACAGGCAGGGUACAACAAAAAAUGGAAAGAUGGGAAGGCAAACGAAAACUGGAUAAACGACAGUCGGUCGUCGAUGAUGCAAUGGGUCGAUAGGUUGGGCAUGAACGGUUGAGCCGAGUCCGACCACGUACAUGUUCCUAUACGCAAGCAGGUGCAGGUUCCCAAUGAAUGAAGACCCACAUUUUGAGUGCGGUUGCUGCUGGGAGAUCGGGAUAACUUCUGCGGCCCCUAUGCUAGUGCUGCAGGUACUAAGGUCCUUCCAGGUUGGAAUCCCAGGAAGAAGGAAAACCCCCGCAUUGCCAUUGAGAGAGUGCGCGCGUAAGAUUGAUCGAGCAUUAUUUAUUCCACCACACAAAGGAAGGUUUUUACUGGGGCACGACUUAAAGCCGAUGACAAAACCCAACGAAAAAUUCCACAUCGUAUUAGCCACAGCCUGCAAGCGAUGAAGAUGUCAUGCGGGCGUGUGAUGAAGACUCUGGCGAUGCUCUCAAUUCCCCCUUUACAGCUUUCCAUUAUCGGAUAAAAGAGAUAGAGCAGAGACGUUUGAAGGAAAAAAAAGAUCCCGGGGUAGUACAAAACAAGACACUUUGACCCUUCUGCGGUUGCACCACACCAGCCACCACACAGCCGAAACGGUGCAGACGGUGAUCGGUUCGUUCCAUCGUGACAAUCGGUUUGGUAUCGUUUUCUUUUCCGAGUGAAAGUUUUUAUUUUUCGGAAGCACUCUUCACCAGUGCUUCGCCAGUGGAAACGGUUGGACGACAAACCAGCAGACAACGGCAACCUCGACCGUGACCGAGGGUCGGCAGGCUCGGCAGCAGACGCGGAAGCGACAGCAGUAGCAACACACCACCGUACACAUGAAAACGAGCUGAUUAGGAAGGAGAGAAAAUGAUGCGUUUUAAAUUUAGUUUUAAUUUACCCAAUCCCAACUACCUUCCCCGAAGGCCUUGCGCCGCACAAACGACACAUUUGGGCACGUAGGCGUGGGUUUAUGAAUUUCACCAACUGUCAGGGCGUUCGUUUGCUACACUUUCCCCCCGGGGUGGCUUCAAGUAGUGGUAGUAGUAGUAGCAGGUGCUUUUUAUUUUGGCGGGCUGUUGUUUUCCGUUUUUCGAGUGGACCGUUUGCUGAAAGCGAGUCGUCCGAAAAAUCAUCACCAUCGUACGUCGUUUGUCAAACGGUAGCGCGGGCGCGAGGUUAAACUCGCCCGAUUCCGUCCAACUGUUGUCGCGGCGGGAUGUCGAUGAGAAAGUUAAACUGCAAACGAAGUUUUUUUGUUGAAGAAACAGACAUACAGACAGCCAAAUAGCCUAAGCUGGAGUGAGUGUGGUUCGACCAAAUAACAUCUCCAGCGCGACAGGUCUCAUACAUAAUGCAUACCGAGAGCCGUAGCUUGUCGCCAAGUUGUGGGGUAAAAACUCACCCCAAAAAAAAACAAACCGUUCAAGUGAUAUACUUUAAACGAUCAUUAACAUCAUUAUGCAAAGUGAUUAUGAAUGCUUAUACCACAUUUAAAAUCACUGAGAAAGGGAGAAGAAACAACAACACCCGGGCUAAAUGUAAGCAAUCGUGUAAAAAGUAACAUUAAAUAAAAAAAAACCAGUACUGCUCCUUUCAUAAUCGCAUUUUUUGUGUUUU